UGGAGUCUGCAACCCGACUCCACGAAGUUGGAUUCGCUAGUAAUCGCGCAUCAGCCAUGGCGCGGUGAAUACGUUCCCGGGCCUUGUACACACCGCCCGUCAAGCCAUGGGAGCCGGGGGCGCCUGAAGUCCGGGACCGCGAGGACCGGCCUAGGGCGAAACUGGUGACUGGGGCUAAGUCGUAACAAGGUACC
rnacentral:rRNA from 1 species